CAGAGAUGUCUACACCUGUCUCCAUCAGCAAUUUUUCGGCCGACUUCUCCAACCCUCCUCCGCCCGACACAUCUUCAGCAACGCUGGGACAAUAGCUGCUGACAUAAUAGUGUCUGUAGUAGUACUUGUAGUCAUCGUCAUUAUCUCAUUGGCUUGGGCUAGGAGAAUGAGAAGAAGUGCAAUUGGUCCAAAAUUGCCAACAACUGUGGCUCCACCACAGACCUUGAAUGUGGUUCUAGUUUGGGAAAUCGAAGCACCAACAAUGGAGAGGUUCAUCCUAGACUUGGCGAAGAAGAAACCAGUUAGAUUCACAGCCCAACAACUAUGUAAUUUCACAACUAAUUAUUCUACGAGGUUGGGUUCUUGCGGUUUUGGGAUUGUUUACAAGGGUCAAUUUCCAAAUGGAGUUAAGAUUGCAGUUAAGGUAAUAGGAAAUCGAAUAAUAGAGGAGCAAAGGAACAAUUCAUGGCAGAGGUAAGCACUAUUGGAAGAACAUACCAUAUAAAUCUAGUUAGGCAAUACGGUUUUUGCCAUAACAAAUUUAUGAGCGCAUUGGUGUACGAGUACAUGGAAAAUCGUUCACUAGAUAAAUGUUGUACAAAUUGUGUGAUAACAUAAAACAAAUAGAUUUAUAUUGAACAAA